UAUUAUUUUAUUAGAUAUUUUAGUGUCAUUACUCAUAUCAUAUUUUGUGUUAUUUUCUUAAGAAACAUCUUAGAUAGUUCUAUUUUGGUAGGACUAAAUAAAUAUUUGAAGGACAAGUAAAUUAUAUGUUUGUAUGAAUACUUUACCGGAAAAACCCGAAAAUCGGAAAAAUUCGAAAAAAACCCGAGGUUGAAAAACCCGAAUUUUAUUAGUUUGGUUUAUAGAUUUAAAAAUCCGACACAAAUGAUUUGAUUUGAUAUUUGAAAAACCCGAACCAACCCAUAUGUACACCCCUAACACACACAACUAAUAUAUACAUUAUUUUUUAAUACAAUCUACCAAACGAUCCGAAAAUAAUUAAUGAAUGAAAGCAACAAAAUGCAUAUGAUCCAAGGUUUUUAGAAAAACAAGAAUAGAAUGGUGAUUGGUGUGUCAAUAUGAAAAAACAAGAAAAAUAUAAUGGUGCAGAAUGCAUGAGGUUUUGUGUGAAAAAUGAGAGUUAAAAAAAAAUUAUGAAGAAUCUUCUACGUGGCCGAAUUUCUAUUGGCUCUUUUCUUUUCCCAAUUUUGUUUUUUACUAAAAAUUAAAAUCCUGUAAUAAUCAGUAUUUUGAAAGCACGAGGAAAGACGUACAUUUUUUUAGUUUUGACCAUUAAAAUAAAAUAUUAUUUAUUAUUUAAAAAAAAUUAAAAUUGAAGUUGAAGUGUAGUACUGAGCAAGGCGUAAAUCACGAGACACGUGGCUUAAGGCCUAUAAGUUUUAGUUGUUAAAUUUUUAAUAUAACAAGAUAAAAUGUAGAGAACACCUUAAAAGUUUAAGAAAAAAAAAGCUCAUAGAAAAUAAAAUAUUUAGCAUAUAUUUAAAGUAUAAAUAAUUUAAUAGUGUUAAAGUUAUCAUAAAAAUACAAAUGAACUACAUGUUUUAACUUCCAAGCAAUUGAAAAUUUCACAAUUUCUUACGAUAUAUUAUCAAACUACACAUAUUACCUUUCGAAAAAUAAAACAACAAAUAUUAUCAGUACUACAUAUAAUUUAAAAUAUUUAUCUUUCGUGAAUAAAUACAAAACUGCUUUUAAAAUAAUAAAAGUACGAUAAUUUUAAGAAAUAUAACUAAGACACUAGAAAUAACUAAAGAUAUAAUUUUCAAUUGUUAAGCUAUUUUCAGAAUAAUGUUCAAUUGAUAUUCAUCCUUACGAUAUUCUCAAUUAAUUAUUAUGCAAUAUUAUGGCUCGUUAUUUGAGUUACGCUCAAGAUCUUAUUUAUUAUAGGUAAUUAAACUUUUACAUUGAUUUGUUAAAAUAAUUUGAAGGUCAACACUAAUUAGGGAAGAGAUCGUUGAACAAACCCUAAAUUUGAAGCGUUACGCAUAAUUAGGGCGCAUACAAUCAAAUGCUUAGAGUGUAAAUUUCGCUCAAGUGGCCCGCCCUAGACAGGUCCCAAACGACUUUUUAUUUUAAACAUAGAUAAUAACAUUGACUAACUCAUCCUAGACUAAAAUAAUUAAAAUAUCACUAAUAUAAUACAAAUUUAUUUAUUUAAACCUAAUUAAAAAAGAGAGAGAUUUUUUUUGUGAAAUUUUCCCUUUUCUUUUUGAAAAUGAAAUAAAACCUUUAUCCCAAAAUAUGACCUUUUAUUUUUUAUUUUUCAAAUAAAAUCUAUU
rnacentral:lncRNA from 1 species